CCCUUUGUGAGGCCCGGGAUGGGAGGCUCCAGCGCCGUAGGACUGAGGCAGACUCCACGGUGAGAAAGAGACCCGAUCUAACCCAGGCCUUUCAUCAGAGCCCAGGAGGGAAGGCAGGAAGUGGGACCACGAGGCCCGGGGGGCUUCUAACUCGUCUGGCCAGGGAGAUCUGAAUUGGGGUGAAGAGCAGAAUCUCCAGAACAAGGAGGAGGUGGUGAUCAUGGAGACAGAUUUGGCUGAAAUGCCUGAGAAAGGAGUUCUGUCUUCCCAGGAUUCUCCCCAUUUCCAAGAGAAGAGCACAGAAGAGGGAGAAGUGGCUGCUCUGCGCCUCACGGCCAGAUCCCAGAACUGCCUUUUUGUUGAGCACAGAAAACGAAGGAAAUUUGCAUUUCCAAUGUCCUUCAGACGUGGAGACUAGACCACAGAGCAAGGAUUCAACUUCAGUGCAAGAUUUUUCCAAAGCAGAAUCAUGCAAAGUUGCAAUAAUAGACAGACUGACACGGAAUAGUGUCUAUGACUCUAACUUGGAAGCAGCCCUUGAAUGUGAAAAUUGGUUAGAGAAGCAGCAAGGAAAUCAGGAGAGACAUUUGAGAGAAAUGUUCACUCACAUGAAUUCACUCUCUGAGGAAACAGACCAUGAGCAUGAUGUAUACUGGAAAAGCUUCAAUCAGAAAUCUGUCCUUAUCACUGAAGACAGAGUUCCCAAAGGAUCUUAUGCCUUCCAUACACUUGAAAAAAGCUUGAAACAAAAAUCAAACUUAAUGAAAAAGCAGAGAACUUAUAAAGAGAAAAAACCUCAUAAAUGUAAUGAUUGUGGUGAACUCUUCACCUGCCAUUCAGUGCAUAUUCAACACCAGAGAGUCCAUACUGGAGAGAAACCCUAUACCUGCAAUGAAUGUGGGAAAUCUUUUAGCCACAGAGCUAAUUUAACUAAACACCAGAGAACUCAUACUAGAAUUCUCUUUGAAUGCCGUGAAUGUAAGAAAACCUUCACAGAAAGCUCAUCCCUUGCAACACAUCAGAGAAUUCACGUUGGAGAGAGACCUUAUGAAUGCAAUGAAUGUGGGAAAGGUUUUAAUCGAAGUACACAUCUUGUGCAGCAUCAGUUGAUUCAUACUGGAGUGAGGCCUUAUGAAUGUAAUGAAUGUGAUAAAGCUUUUAUUCAUUCAUCAGCACUCAUUAAACAUCAAAGAACUCAUACUGGAGAGAAACCUUAUAAAUGUCAAGAAUGUGGGAAAGCCUUUAGCCAUUGCUCAUCCCUAACUAAGCAUCAGAGAGUUCAUACUGGAGAAAAGCCAUAUGAAUGCAGUGAAUGUGGAAAAACUUUUAGUCAGAGCACACAUCUUGUUCAACAUCAGAGAAUUCACACUGGAGAGAAACCCUAUGAGUGUAGUGAAUGUGGGAAAACCUUCAGCCAGAGCUCCAAUUUUGCUAAACAUCAAAGAAUUCAUAUUGGAAAGAAACCGUACAAAUGUAGUGAGUGUGGAAAAGCCUUCAUUCAUUCAUCAGCUCUUAUUCAACAUCAGAGAACUCAUACCGGAGAGAAACCCUUUAGAUGUAAUGAGUGUGGGAAAAGCUUUAAGUGCAGUUCAUCUCUCAUCAGACAUCAAAGAGUUCACACUGAAGAGCAACCCUGAAAAAUUACUGAAUGUGAAGAAAUGUAAGUUGGUUUUAUCACUAUAUUAAAUACUUGAGUGUUUAGGUGGAAGGCCCAUCCAUAAUAUGCAUGUGAGGACCAAUUCUAUAUGCAUCUAAUUUCAUUUGUGUAAUACAUAGUUUUGAGCCAUAGGCAGGUUCUUUAUGUCCGUUAAUUUGAUAAUUAUGAAAUCUAGCCAGCGAUUUCAAAAUUUUAAUCUCCAACCUCCCAAAUAGCUAUCUGUGGAAAUUCAAGAAGUCCCUGAGAGUGGGUAGCAGUACAAACAUUGUGAAAUCCAGUUUUCCCCUCUCUUGUUUAUGUCAGAGCUUUGUUGUAAGCCUCUCACUUUGUAAGGAAAUUCUUAUUGGGUAGGUUAGGCUGAGGGCUUACAUCCUUAUCAUCAGGAAGACACAAUGUUGUUAUUUAUUACUCCUUGAGAUCUAGAUACACAUAUGGUAUAAUUCAUCUAGAGUGUCAUUUCUUUUAUAUUAGCCUUAAAAACCAAAAAUGCUGGGUUCAAAGUCCUUAGCAUUCCCUUCCUCCCUCAACAAGCUGCUGUCUAUUUUGAUGACCAUAACUAGGAUGUAUAAUAUUUACAGACAAUUCUAAUUUAUGUUCACAUGGAUUAUGUACAUCAUUGAUUUUUUUUUUUUUUUUUUUUUGAGACAGAGUCUCGCUCUGUUGCCCGGGCUGGAGUGCAGUGGCGUGAUCUCAGCUCACUGCAACCUCCACCUCCCAGGUUCAUGCCAUUCUCUUGUCUCAGCCUCCUGAGUAGCUGGGACUACAGGCACCUGCCAGUACGCCUGGCUAAUUUUUUUUGUAUUUUUAGUAGAGAUGGGGUUUCACCAUGUUAGCCAGGAUGGUCUUGAUCUCCUGACCUCGUGAUCUGCCUGCCUCGGCCUCCCAAAGUGCUGGGAUUACAGGCGUGAGCCACCAUGCCUGGCAUCAUCAUUGAUUUAUGUCAUUGUUAUCCCUCUACCGCGGAGACCUUCUUUCAUUUUCCAUUUCCCUGGGAGUUCACGUGAAGUAGUGAAUGGGUCAAAAUCUUAACAGUGGUUGUUGAUCAAGUCCUUCCUUUCUUAUCCUUGGCACUGAAUAAAUCUUUGGUUUUCCAUAAUCAAAGGGUGAGGGAGACUUCUUUUGUCUACAUUAUUCAGCUUUCUGAAAGCUAUGCUGUGUCCAUUUGAGAAAAAGCCCCAGGGAUAUUGAAGGUCUGAGAAGUUGAGUGGUUCAGUGUGUUAUUAUAUUUAGGGUCCCAGUAAAGAAGAACUGAAGCAACUGUGAGACACCAGGGCAUACUUCCCUGUAUGAGUGGAAAACAAGGUACGGAAAAUAGCUCACAGGAUAGUCCUCAACUGACUUGCUUGAGGAUAAGCAGCUUCCCUUCAUGAAGAAGUUGCCAUUUCUCUGGCCUUCAUAUUUACCUACUUUUUGUUAUUGUUAUCUGUAUCGGUUCAAUCUCACACUGCUAUAAAGAAAUGCCUGAGACUGGGUAACUUAUAAAGAAAAAAGGUUUAAUUGGCUCAUGGUUCCAUGGGCUGUACAGGAAGUAUGACUGGGGAGGUCUCAGGGAGCUUUUACUCAUGGCAAAAGGCAAAGCCAGAGCAGGUAUCUUCACAGGGCUAGAGCAAGAGGAAAAGAGAGAGGGGAGGUGCUACACACUUUUUAUGCAACCAAAUCUCAUGAGAACUCUAUCACGAGACAGCAGUAGGGGGACAGUGCUAAAUCAUUCAUGAGAAACUACCUGCGUGGUCCAGUCACCUUGCACCAGGCCCCACCUCCCACAUUGGGGAUUACAAUUAAACAUGAGAUUUGGGUGGGGAUACAGAUCUAAACUGUAUCAUUACUCAAAAAAAAAAAAAAAAGAAAAAAGAAAGAAAACACAGGAAAAGGAACUCACCUCUUUUAUCAUCUUAGUAUUUAGUACUAAUGGUUUAGAGCAGGAGUUGACAAACUGUGGCCUGGACUCAUGGACCAACUCUGGCCCACCACCUGUUUCUCAGAAGAAAAUUUUAUUGGAACUCAGCCACACUUACUCAUUUACAUGUUGUCCUUGACUGCCUUUGUGUCCAGUGUCAGAACUGAGUAGCUGCAGCGGAGGUUGUGCCUCUGGGCUUUAAUAUCACAAACAGAGCAGCUUAUAAGCAACAGAAACUUACUUCUCACAGUUUUGGAGGCUGGGAAGUCCAAGAUCAAGGUGUCAACAUAUUUAGGGUCUAGGGAAGGUCUGCUUCUUGGUUAAUAGAAAGCACCUUUCACUGUGUCUUCACAUGGUAGAAGGGGAGAGCUCUGGUAUCUUCAGGCCCUUAUAAGGGCACUAAUCCCAUUCAUGAGCGCUCCACCCUCACGACCUAAUCACCUCCAAAAGGCCCCAUUUCAUAAUACCAUCAAUUAAGUUUCAUUAUAUGACUUUGAUGGGGAUAUAGCCCAUAGUAGGUUCUAUGUCCCUGAAAGCCUAAAAUAUUUACUGUUUGGCUCUUUACAGAAAAUAUUUUCUUGGCCCCUGUUCCAGAGCAUUCAUCAAGAAGUCAGAUAAAGGGUUUAAACCAGUCAGAGAAAGUAGGUGGAAUGGAAAAGUUGAACUUACUGAGAGAUAACUGGGGACAGAAAAAUAAAAGAGGUGGGAAAUGAUGCAUCAAAAUACUCCUACCUCUAGGAUGUUACUAUAUAUUGUCAGGAGAAUUCAAGUUAUUGAAACUUGCCAAAUUCUUGAGUGAAAAGAAAUUCAUUUGAGGGCCAAAAUUUGACUAAGGAAAGAAGACCAACAUGGGCUUUCCAAAGUUGAGUUUGAAUUCUGCCAUCCCCACUAAGCAGUCAUGUGACCUUGGAAAAACUCCCUACUCUGAGUCUCAGUUUCUUUAUCUGUAUUAGGUUUCAACAAAGGGAAUAAAUCAUUGGCUUCUCAUGAGGUUGUCAUAAGGAUUAAAUAAGACAAUGCAUACAAAAGAACUGGCAGACAAUAAAUAUAGAGUCCCCCACUCCUGCUUGGUGCUCUCUUUCUCUCUCCUUCUCUACAUAGAGAAGUGCCAGAGCAUCCGUCAGUAGAAGUUACUUAAGGUUGGCUGUGUCUUCCACAUCUUUUGUUUACCCAUGAAGAACUGUGACCAUCUUGUUCUGUGGCUUGUCAUAAAGAUGGGACGUGACUUCUUUCUGCUCUUGCUUCCAUCUGGUGCUGUUUUCUGCACAGCCUCCUUGAGACCUUCCAGAACCUUCUUUUUUCCUACUUCGUAUCACUUAACCAGUAGCUAUCUGGGAUGGUUCCAGAGGCUGAAGUUUGCAGUUGAAUAACAUUUUAAAUAGUGUUAAGCGACUUGGGAUCUCUGGCCCUUUGCGUUUCAGUAUUUGUCCUUUUUAUGCCUGAUGUUUAACCUGCCACAUGUUUGUACUGCAACAUGAAUCUUGGAAAUUUUAAUGUUAUGCAUUUCAAAUGUUUUUGGUUAUCUGUAAACUAAAUGUGCCCUUAUUGGCUCACUUGUCAAUAAAGAUGUUUGUAUAUGUUUUGUCAGAAA
ensembl:lncRNA ZNF286B zinc finger protein 286B (pseudogene)